rnacentral:lncRNA from 10 species
UAGGGCAAGUAACAUGGACAUUGAUACACCAAGUUCCUUCUUGUUUUUCCUUGAAAGUUGGCUUGAUGAAUGUAUUCUGCAGGGAUUUUAAAGGUGUGGAAAUGAAGCAGACAUCAAGGACUGCUGCAGUUUACUGGGGGUCCACUCCAGACCUUAGUUGCUUCAGUUUUUCCCUGUACCUGGAGGUAUCGUCAGUGAAGCCUGCAAAACAGCAAAGAUGGCAGCCUGCUCCUUCCUCUGGAAGCUCCAUCCCAGGGAUGCACUGACCUGUUGCCAGAAGGAACAUGCCUGUAGGAGGUGGCUGGAGACCCCUGCUGGGAGGUCCCACCCACUCGGGAGGAAUGGGAUCAGGGACCCACCCCAAGAAGCCCUCUGGCUGCCCUUUGGUAGAGUAGGUGCCAGGAGACCCUUCCUUGCCUGGACCAUUUGUAUUUUCCAAAGUUGGCAGGCUGGAAUGGCUGAGUUUACCAAACUGCAGAGAUGACAGCUGCUCUUCCCCUGUGAGCUUCAUUCCAGGGAGAGAUCAGAACUUUGUCUGUAGAACCCUUGCUUGUGUGGCUGAAGCCCCUGCAGGGAGGACUUGCCCAGUGAAGAGGAAUAGAUUGAGGUACCGCUUAAAGAAGCAGUCUGGCCAUGAUCUGGCAAGGCAGCUGUGCUGUGCUGCAGGGAACCUCUCCUUGCUCGAACUUCUUGUAUUCUUCAAAGCUAGCAGGCUGAAACCAAUAAAUUUAAAUUUAAAUAGGUAAAAAUAAGUAAAUAAAGAUAAAGAAAAAUAAAUUGACUGAUUUAUUCUGCCUUCAGGAGCUCUUAGAUGAUGUAGGAAAACAAAUAAUACUGUACAAUCAAAGUCGAAAUUCCUUAAGCAGAGGGUCUUAUGAGAACACAAAGGGAAGGCAACUGGAGCUUUACAGAUGACUUCCUAGACUAGAGAUACCUGAUGUGGGUCUUUAGGGUUAAGUCAUUAAUAGCAAGGCCAAGUAGAGGAAGAGCAUAUCCUACAGAGAAAAAAAGAAUAAGCAAAGGCUGGCUGUUGAGAGAAUUGCAAGUGCUUAGUAUGACUAUAGCGGUAGUCUCAACAGGAGCAGGACAUCCUUAGGGGAUGUUUUGAAAAAUUUUUGUGGAAUUUUCUUGGUCCCAGUAAUUAGUAAGCACUAUUAGCCUUAAAAUGAUAAAGGGCCACUGAGCUAGAUGUUCUGCAAUGGGCAAGACAAUUGCACACAAUGAAAAAUUGUCCCAAGUUCAAGUUUGGACAAGUUAGGGAUGUCCCUCCAGGCAUUUUUGUCAAUGAAAAACCUCUUUGUAACUGUCUUGGCAUAGAGCCUAACUCCAUAUAUACAUAUAACACAAAAUAUUUUUGCACAGUUUUAAUAUACACUAAAUUUUCCAGGGACACAAUUACAUAAAUUAAGGAAAGAUCAUGCUUUGCUGUGUUUGGAACUUAUCAAGAGUCAUUCACCAUUCUAGAAAAUAGCAUCAAAGAUGCAAUAUAGCUCUUGGUGUCUGAGUUGCCAGUUCAGCCAUCUGUGUCAAUCUGUAUUUGUAGAUAUUGCAGUCAAGGUGAUAUUAUUUUUAAGCAAAAGUGUCUGACAACUUUAUUAAGUUCCCCAAUGUAGCUGUGCCAUAGCAUUUUAGAUUAUUUUAAAUUGUAUAUUACUUUCCUUUUAUUUUUCCUCUAAUGAUAGAUACUUAGGGCAUUUUUUUUAAAAACCCAAUGAGAAGACAGGUUAUUUUAUCUAUGAGUUUCAUUUCAGGAUAGUAAAAGUGUAUUACAAAAUGCUGGUUGUAACAACGGGGACAUUAGGUUGCAAAGGACAGAAUGGGCUGGUAUGUCAGUAGCAUCUCUUUCCCCAAAGACCUCAGUUGUGACAUGUGAAACUCUAAUUGCUAUGUGAUGUUUCCAGUUGUAAGGGCCUGAUUAUGGUUUAAUGCUUGCUGGAAAAAUAAAUGAGCAAAAUCAAGUUAGGAGACCACUUAUUUUUCCCUGCAUGAAACAUUUUAAUGUGACUUUACACUUAUAUUUCCCUGGCUAUUUUGGCAACAUAAAAGGCCCAGUCUAUAUCAAGGCCCAAGUGAAU